rnacentral:rRNA from 1 species
GACGAACGCUGGCGGCGUGCUUAACACAUGCAAGUCGAACGGUAAGGCCCUUCGGGGUACACGAGUGGCGAACGGGUGAGUAACACGUGGGUGAUCUGCCCUGCACUUCGGGAUAAGCCUGGGAAACUGGGUCUAAUACCGGAUAGGACCACUGCCUGCAUGGGUGGUGGUGGAAAGCUUUUGCGGUGUGGGAUGGGCCCGCGGCCUAUCAGCUUGGUGGUGGGGUGAUGGCCUACCAAGGCGACGACGGGUAGCCGGCCUGAGAGGGUGACCGGUCACACUGGGACUGAGAUACGGCCCAGACUCCUACGGGAGGCAGCAGUGGGGAAUAUUGCACAAUGGGCGCAAGCCUGAUGCAGCGACGCCGCGUGAGGGAUGACGGCCUUCGGGUUGUAAACCUCUUUCAGCUAUGACGAAGCGCAAGUGACGGUAGUAGCAGAAGAAGGACCGGCCAACUACGUGCCAGCCGCCGCCGUAA